rnacentral:piRNA from 1 species
UUUUCAAUCCAUAUUUGUUUU